rnacentral:rRNA from 1 species
UACGGCCGUACCAUGCUGAAUAUACCGGUUCUCGUUAGAUCACCGAAGUUAAGCAUCAUUGGGCGCGGUCAGUACUUGGAUGGGUGACCACCUGGGAACACUGCGUGCCGUU